UCAGGAUGAACGCUAGCUACAGGCUUAACACAUGCAAGUCGAGGGGCAGCAUGAGAUUAGCUUGCUAAUCUUGAUGGCGACCGGCGCACGGGUGCGUAACACGUAUCCAAUCUACCCAUGGCUCGGGGAUAGCCUUUCGAAAGAAAGAUUAAUACCCGAUGGUCUGCGAUUGAGACAUCUCGAUUGCAGUAAAGACUUGUCGGCGAUGGAUGGGGAUGCGUCCGAUUAGCUAGUUGGCGGGGUAACGGCCCACCAAGGCGACGAUCGGUAGGGUUCUGAGAGGAAGGUCCCCCCACACUGGAACUGAGACACGGUCCAGACUCCUACGGGAGGCAGCAGUGAGGAAUAUUGGUCAAUGGGCGAUGGCCUGAACCAGCCAAGUUAAGCGUGAGGGACGACGGCCCUACGGGUUGUAAACCUCUUUUGUAUGGGAAUAAAGUGAGGCCACGUGUGCCUUUUUGUAUGUACCUUACGAAUAAGCAUCGGCUAAUUCCGUGCCAGCCGCGGC
rnacentral:rRNA from 1 species